rnacentral:rRNA from 1 species
UGGCGAACGGGUGAGUAACACGUGGGUAAUCUGCCCUGCACUCUGGGAUAAGCCUGGGAAACUGGGUCUAAUACUGGAUACGACCUUUCUCCUUAUGGGGUUUGGUGGAAAGUUUUUCGGUGUAGGAUGAGCCCGCGGCCUAUCAGCUUGUUGGUGGGGUGAUGGCCUACCAAGGCGACGACGGGUAGCCGGCCUGAGAGGAUGAUCGGCCACAUUGGGACUGAGAUACGGCCCAG